UACGUAGGCAGCAAGCGUUGUUCGGAAUUACUGGGCGUAAAGAGUGUGUAGGCGGUGCUCCAAGUCUGGUGUGAAAUCUCCCGGCUCAACUGGGAGGGUGCGCCGAAGACUGGGAGGCUAGAGUAUGGGAUGGGAGAGUGGAAUUCCUGGUGUAGCGGUGAAAUGCGUAGAUAUCAGGAGGAACACCUGCGGUGUAGGCGGCUCUCUGGACCAUUACUGACGCUGAGACACGAAAGCGUGGGUAGCAAACAGG
rnacentral:rRNA from 1 species